AUCCAGCUGACAAGUCCGAAAUAAGAUGAAACGCGCGUCCUGGAU
rnacentral:hammerhead_ribozyme from 1 species